CGCUGACGAGUGGCGAACGGGUGAGUAACACGUAGGAAUCUACCCAGAAGUGGGGGACAACCCGGAGAAAUCCGGGCUAAUACCGCAUACGCCCUAAGGGGUAAAGCGGGGGACCUUUUCGAAGGCCUCGCGCUUUUGGAUGAGCCUGCGUCGGAUUAGCUUGUUGGUGAGGUAAUGGCUCACCAAGGCAACGAUCCGUAGCUGGUCUGAGAGGAUGACCGGCCACACUGGGACUGAGAUACGGCCAG
rnacentral:rRNA from 1 species